rnacentral:ncRNA from 19 species
UAUAUUUGUCGAACAUUCGGUUCUCGAUUUUUUUGAGAAAAAAGAGAUUAAAAGGGAAUCCUGUGGAAAACAGGAACUAUCCCCGUAGCUGUGAGUUUCAGUAGAAGUCUGUUCGAUAAAUGCCACUGGAAAUUUUUGUAUAUGACCGGGAAGGUGUAACAGAUGAAACAAGUCAGAAGACCUGCCGUUUGUGAGUUGUAAAGA